CGGGGCUUAAAGUCUUGUAAUUGGAAUGAUGGGAAUUUAAACCUCUUCCAGAGUAUCAAUUGGAGGGCAAGUCUGGUGCCAGCAGCCGCGGUAAUUCCAGCUCCAAUAGCGUAUAUUAAAAUUGUUGCAGUUAAAAAGCUCGUAGUUGAAUUUCUGCUGCAUUGCUUGUGUCCCUCUGGGGUCUGUGCAUGUGGCUUUUUUCGGACGGAUUUUCUUUGUCUGAAUGUUUACUUUGAGAAAAUUAGAGUGCUCAAAGCAGGCUUUCGCCUUGAAUAGUUUAGCAUGGAAUAAUAAAGUAGGACUUUGGUUCUAUUUUGUUGGUUUUAGGUACCAAAGUAAUGGUUAAUAGGAACAGUUGGGGGCAUUCGUAUUUAACUGUCAGAGGUGAAAUUCUUAGAUUUGUUAAAGACGAACUACUGCGAAAGCAUUUGCCAAGGAUGUUUUCAUUAAUCAAGAAC
rnacentral:rRNA from 1 species